GAAAUUAACAAGACUCUGUUGCAUCCUGUGAUCCAAGCUUUGCAACCUAUAGCAAACAUAACGGUUGAAAGCCAGGUUUUAUUCUACACGCCAAAGUCUUCUUUUUCGUACUGGGAUGAUAUACACGGAAGCCACAUAUUCAGUACCAAGGAUCUUCCUUUCUUUCUUAAUUCAAAUGAGUGGCAUCUAGAUACUUCAGUUGCAGCGGGAGGGAGAUCUAAAGUAUUGCAACUUGUGGUGUAUACUCUUCAGCUCAAUCCUAGAUUUAUUUACUUCUUUUCAUAAUCUAAGAAUUCGUUUCUUCUUUUACUUUUGAUAGCCUUCCUAGUGCUAGCAUUAAAUGAAAAAAAUUGAAAUUUCUUCUGUCUCAUUGUCUCUACUGCUAUUACAAUUCUCUAUUGUGAUUAGUUUGUUGAUUCUGAUCUGCGUUUAGACAGAGCUUACAUUAAAUGUUUCCUUGUAUAUAAUGGCAG